rfam:Streptococcus pyogenes M1 GAS, complete genome.
AAUGAUAGUUUGGUCGCUUUUCAUUAUAGAUCGUCAUAUGGAACUUUUUAUAUAUGUUUAAAAAGACUCUAUAAUCUUUGAGGUGGAUUUACCUACUACAGAAAGUAUAGAAUU